AAAUAUUAAAUAUGUUGGUCGCUAAAAUCGGUCGCCUAACCCAAAUCAAUUAUUUUUAAUCAAUAUUUACCUUUUACUUUUCAGUUUCCCAAAUCAAAUCAAAUUAAGUGUAAAGCAUAACCUCACCACCCAAAUCAAAUUUCGCUUAACCCUUGAAUGCCUAAAACCAUAUUUUCGCGAAGCAGAACCUCACCACCUUACCACCGCACAACCCUUCUUCUCACCAUCGUUUAACCCUCACUCGUUUAACCCUAACUCGUUCACGAGCUCGUUCACCAUCAUGGCUCACACAAACCCUCACUCGUUUAACCCGCCUUGGUAAGGUUGUGUAUUAGACCACAAAGAAGAGAGCUAGUGGAAAAAGAUACACAUUAAUACGAGGGACUUGUGGUUUCAAGAAUUUAAAGGUAUGUUAUGCUUGUUCUGCUUGUAGUCAUUCUGCUUGAUCUAUUUCAGUUUGACAGGCUACUUAGUACGCACUGUGUGUCACUUAGGUACGUAGGAAAUUUGAUUUAGGUUUGUUAAUUUUAUAUAACCAUUUUCCGGUUGUAGAGAAUUUAAAAAAUUUGCUUUUGCAAAGCAAGAGUCCAUGUAAACAAAUUUAACAUAAACAUUUGAUUUUUUUUUAUUUUGUUUUUGUGAUGGAUUUAAUGGUCCUGAUGCAACUGAUUAUCUUGUUAAUAAUAUUUUUUAUGUUGUACAUGAUGAGCUUAAAGGGUUUCUAUGUAAUCGAAAUCAAAAUAGUAGUAAUAAAGUGAAGAGGGUUUUUGUCACAUAGAUGUUUUUUUUUUUAAUGGAUCACAUAGACGUGUUAGAAGCUCUUUCUGAGGCAAUGAGGAAAACUGAGGAUGCAUGUUUUAAUAUAAUUAAUGAGAUGAUUAAUCAUAAUCCUGUUUUGGCUAUGAUGGGUUCUUGUGUUUUGGUUAUGUUGAUGAAAGGUUAAGAUGAUCCUUCUGCGGUAACUAAAGGCCGAGUGAAAGGUUACUUGAAUAUCACAAGGGCUUUUAAUUUGGAGCAGAAUUCCUUAAGCAAGUAACUUGAUAGCCUAUAUACUGAAUUUGCUUACACUCCUGCUAAAAAAAUUUGCUAUACUAGUUUCAUUUUCAUUGUCAUUGUUAUAUUGAAUUACAUUAUUGUGUAAGUUCUUUUAAGAAUCAAUGCUAUAAGGGAAGUGUUAUUGUUUAGCUGCUUCUUGGAUUUAGCAGGCGGCUUUGGUUCUUUUCUUUCAUGUUUUCAUUAUUAUGUGUUGUGUGGGUUAUAAUUUUUUAGUGUUAUAUUAUUUAUGUGUUUAGGUUUGUAAUGUCGGGUGGAUGUUUUUUUGUUCUGUUUAAGGUGUGGUAUAUUUGUCAUGGUGUUUUCUAGGUACACUUCUAUGUUCUUUUGCAGCCUGUGCUUUGGUAGCGGGCUUCUAUGUACUUCUUCCCCAUUUUUGGCACUUCUUGUGCUAAUGUUUGAGCUAUUAAUAUAUUUGCAGUUUCAAAACAAAAACAUUGAUCUGUUCUUGAGUUUCAGUUGGUUUGGAUUGGAUUAUAUCCUAUUUGGAUUAAUUAACAGGUUAUCUUUGGUUUUUGAUUUCAGGAUACAAAAUGAUAGGAUUCUUUCUUACCUGGGUGCUUGUGUAUGUUUUGCACUGUCAUAACAUUUUGCAUCUAGAUAAUGUUGAUUAUUUACAUUUGUAUUAUUUGAAAUUUCAGGAUACAAAAUGAUAGGAUUCUUUCUUACCUGGAAAACAAAUUAUGAUAUUAUUUCUUCAAACUUAUUAAUAUACAUUGGAUUUUCUUCUUCUAACUGUGUUCACACCAAGUAGGGAACCAAUGUUGUGAUGCAAUGAGAAUUAAGUCUGAGUACUUGGAUAUCAGUGGUAAGGAAUUAUGGAAAUUAAGGAGCUAUAAUGAUGAAUAUGUUUUCUUGUUACAAGGUAAUUCCUAAAAUGAAUUAGCUUAACUUUUGUGAAUGAUACUAUUGAGAUUCAGGCUCUAACAUGUUUACUAAUACGUAUCAUUCAGAUGUGAAGAUCCAUGAUGAAGGUGUUGUUGAACUUGAAGUUGAUGAAAAAUGUUUGUUUAUGGAGUUUAGCAGCAAGCUGAGGUUAAUAAGUACAUUGUUCAGUAUAAUUGUUUUAGAGAUUGGUUACAAAUUACAUGCCAGCUUGCUAGGGAUAUUUAAGGCUUGUAAAAUGUAAUGAAGGAUCCCAAUUACCUUAGGUUUGAAUGUAGUUAGUUACUUUAACAUCCUAGAUGAUGUAUGUAUGUCUCUUGCAUGAUGAUAUAUUUUGGUUAAAAUAUAACUUUAGCCAUUGAUCUUUUCAAAGGUACACAAAUAUUUCAAAUUGUAAUGAUGCAGAUUGACCAAAUAUUGGAGGUAUAAUGUUUUCUAAUCAAUAUUUUAUACUUUUAGUUUUUUAUUAUAUAUAGUCAUGUUUUCAUUAGAUGAUGUAUAUCUCUUGUACAAUGAUUUCAUUUUGGCUAAAAUAUAAUUUUAGUCCUUUAUCUGUUGUGUAAAAUUUACUGUGAUCCUUCAUCUUUACAUAGUUACACAUUCACAAAUUUUAUGUGUUUCUAGCUGCAGGUUGUGUCUCAUGCACAUUGCUUGUCCACGUGCUGCGUCUUUUUUUUUUUUGUUCGUGCCUUGGUCGUACCUCAAAAAUGCCGUGUCGGGAUCGGCUUGGGUUGGAAACGCUUUUUGCUUCUGGUGCUUGAGUAUAGCUAGUGGCAUUGGCGAGAGGUCCUAAGGCACCACCAUUUAAAAAGCAUCGCUGGAAAUUUUUGUUUUGUGGAACCUGUUGGUGUGAUGCGGUAUCGAGGUUGUCGCAAGCAGAUUGCUUAUCUCAGCUUAUGUAUAGGUUUGACUCUUCCAGAUCAACUGUGUGAUCAGUUAAGGAGUUUGGUUGGAUGCUUUUUGAUCCUUUUCUUCAUUUGUAUAUAGUUUGCUUGUUUAAGAUUGAUUGGCUGCCUUGGAUUGUCUCUUUUCCAUUUGAUUGUUAAUCAGCAUAUCAGAAUGUAUUGCUUGGGUAGUUGGGUUUAUUGGCAGGGUAGUUGGAAUUUUGUUAAGGAGAUGAAUUGCUUCUUUAUUUUUGGAUUGAUUAUGUAUUUUUGGAUAAAUAGUUGGUAAUACUUAAAUAUAAAUAUAUUAUGUUCA